rnacentral:rRNA from 1 species
CCCUUAGAUGUUCUGGGCCGCACGCGUGCUACACUGAGUGGAUCAGCGGGUCAGGUUGCGCGAAAGCGUUUCCUAAUCUUUAAAUCCGCUCGUGAUGGGGAUUGACGGUUGCAAUUUUCUGUCAUGAACGAGGAAUACCUUGUAAGCGCGGGUCAUCAUCCCGCGCUGAAUACGUCCCUGCCCUUUGUACACACCGCCCGUCGCUCCUACCGAUUGAGUGGUCCGGUGAAUGUUUUGGAUCGGCUUCAAGUUGGUUCGCGCCUCUUGCUUGCUGUGAAAUCAUGUAAACCUUAUUGCUUAGAGGAAGGAGAAGUCGUAACA